rnacentral:rRNA from 1 species
CCUACGGGUGGCAGCAGUGGGGAAUAUUGGGCAAUGGAGGCAACUCUGACCCAGCAACGCCGCGUGAAUGAUGAAGGUCUUCGGCUUGUAAAGUUCUUUUCUAAGGGAAGAAGAAAAUGACGGUACCUUAGGAAUAAGCUUCGGCUAACUACGUGCCAGCAGCCGCGGUAAUACGUAGGAGGCAAGCGUUAUCCGGAAUGACUGGGCGUAAGGGGUGCGUAGGUGGUUUGACAAGUUAGUAGCGCAACUCCGGGGCUCAACGGCGGAACUACUACUAAAACUGUUGGACUUGAGUGCAGGAGGGGAGAGCGGAAUUCCUAGUGUAGCGGUGGAAUGCGUAGAUAUUAGGAGGAACACCAGUGGCGAAGGCGGCUUGCUAGACUGUAACUGACACUGAGGCACGAAAGCGUGGGGAGCAAACAGGAUUAGAUACCCCUGUAGUC